rfam:Drosophila sechellia strain Rob3c scaffold_7794 genomic scaffold, whole genome shotgun sequence.
GAUUAACUGCAGGGCAGCGACCUUGGGAGAUGGAAAUCCGGCACGAAUUCGUACCACUCACUGCCGAAGGCAACUACCCCUUAAAUGGACGCCGGCUAAAGUUGAUAACUAAAAAUCAUCGCCAAAGUAGAUGAUCUAUAUUCCUUGUGAUAUAAGUUUCGAAACUUUAGUGAGUAGGAAGGUACAAUGGUAUGCGUAGAAGUGUUAGCAUAAGCCUGCAUGGAGCUGCCAUUGGUACAGAUCUUGGUGGUAGUAGCAAAUAAUCGAUUGAGACCCUUGGAGGACUGAAGUGGAGAAGGGUUUCGUGUGAACAGUGGUUGAUCACGAGUUAGUCGGUCCUAAGUUCAAGGCGCAAAGCCGAAAAUUUUCAAGUAAAAACAAAAAUGCCUAACUAUAUAAACAAAGCGAAUAUAAUACACUUGAAUCAUUUUGAACGAAAGGGAAUACGGUUCCAAUUCCGUAUCCUGUUGAGUAUCCGUUUGUUAUUAAAUAUGGACCUCGUGCUCAUCCUGGCAACAGGACCGACCAUAAAGAAGCCGUCGAGAGAUAUCGGAAGAGUUUUCUUUUCUGUUUAAUAGCCGUACUACCAUGGAAGUCUUUCGCAGAGAGAUAUGGUAGAUGGGCUAGAAGAGCAUGACAUAUACUGUUGUGUCGAUAUUUUCUCCUCGGACCUCGAAAAUUUAUGGUGGGGACACGCAAACUUCUCAACAGGCCGUACCAAUAUCCGCAGCUGGUCUCCAAGGUGAAGAGUCUCUAGUCGAUAGAAUAAUGUAGGUAAGGGAAGUCGGCAAAUUAGAUCCGUAACUUCGAGAUAAGGAUUGGCUCUGAAGAUUGAGAUAGUCGGGCUUGAUUGGGAAACAAUAACAUGGUUUAUGUGCUCGUUCUGAGUAAAUAGAGUUUCUAGCAUUUAUGUUAGUUACUUGUUCCCCGGAUAGUUUAGUUACGUAGCCAAUUGUGGAACUUUCUUGCUAAAAUUUUUAAGAAUACUAUUUGGGUUAAACCAAUUAGUUCUUAUCAAUUAUAACGAUUAUCAAUUAACAAUCAAUUCAGAACUGGCACGGACUUGGGGAAUCCGACUGUCUAAUUAAAACAAAGCAUUGUGAUGGCCCUAGCGGGUGUUGACACAAUGUGAUUUCUGCCCAGUGCUCUGAAUGUCAAAGUGAAGAAAUUCAAGUAAGCGCGGGUCAACGGCGGGAGUAACUAUGACUCUCUUAAGGUAGCCAAAUGCCUCGUCAUCUAAUUAGUGACGCGCAUGAAUGGAUUAACGAGAUUCCUACUGUCCCUAUCUACUAUCUAGCGAAACCACAGCCAAGGGAACGGGCUUGGAAUAAUUAGCGGGGAAAGAAGACCCUUUUGAGCUUGACUCUAAUCUGGCAGUGUAAGGAGACAUAAGAGGUGUAGAAUAAGUGGGAGAUAUUAGACCUCGGUUUGGUAUCGUCAAUGAAAUACCACUACUCUUAUUGUUUCCUUACUUACUUGAUUAAAUGGAACGUGUAUCAUUUCCUAGCCAUUAUACGGAUAUAUUUAUUAUAUCUUAUGGUAUUGGGUUUUGAUGCAAGCUUCUUGAUCAAAGUAUCACGAGUUUGUUAUAUAAUCGCAAACAAAUUCUUUAAUAAAACGAUGCAUUUAUGUAUUUUUGAUUUGAAAAUUUGGUAUAACU